rnacentral:rRNA from 1 species
CGGAUGUGUCAGCCGCCGCGGUAAUACGUAGGUCCCGAACGUUGCGCGAAAUUACUGGGCGUAAAGGGUCCGUAGGCGGUCUGGUAAGUGGAAGGUGAAAUCCUACGGCUCAGCCGUAGAAUUGCCUUCCAAACUGCUGGACUUGAGGCAGGGAGAGGUCGGCGGAAUUCCCGGUGUAGCGGUGAAAUGCGUAGAGAUCGGGAGGAACACCAGUGGCGAAGGCGGCCGACUGGAACUGUCCUGACGCUGAGGGACGAAAGCUAGGGGUUGCAAACCGGAUUAGAUUCCCGGGUAGUCCUACCCGUAACCUUUGAAUGCUAGAUGUGGUCUACGAAAGUAGUCCCUACCGCAAGCUAUACGCUCUAAGCAAUCAUCAGGUGGAUUACCCAUGUCC